CUAACACAUGCAAGUCGCACGAGAAAGGGUAGCAAUACCUGAGUAAAGUGGCGCACGGGUGAGUAACACGUGACUAAUCUACCCUCGAGUGGGGAAUAACCUAGAGAAAUCUGGGCUAAUACCGCAUAACACUUACGAGUCAAAGCAGCAAUGCGCUUGGGGAGGAGGUCGCGGCCGAUUAGCUAGUUGGUGGGGUAACGGCCUACCAAGGCUCCGAUCGGUAGCUGGUUUGAGAGAGCGACCAGCCACACUGGGACUGAGAAACGGCCCAGACUCCUACGGGAGGCAGCAGUGAGGAAUUUUCCGCAAUGGGCGAAAGCCUGACGCAGCGACGCCGCGUGGGGGAUGAAGGCCUUCGGGUUGUAAACCCCUUUCACCAGGAGCGAAUCCAGACGGUACCUGGGGAAGAAGCGCCGGCUAACUACGUGCCAGCAGCCGCGGUAAU
rnacentral:rRNA from 1 species